UACGUAGGGUGCGAGCGUUGUCCGGAAUUAUUGGGCGUAAAGGGCUCGUAGGCGGUUCGUCGCGUCGGGAGUGAAAACCCAGGGCUUAACCCUGGGCUGGCUUCCGAUACGGGCAGACUAGAGGUAUGCAGGGGAGAACGGAAUUCCUGGUGUAGCGGUGAAAUGCGCAGAUAUCAGGAGGAACACCGGUGGCGAAGGCGGUUCUCUGGGCCUUACCUGACGCUCAGGUGCGAAAGCUAGGGGAGCGAACAGG
rnacentral:rRNA from 1 species